rnacentral:lncRNA from 1 species
UGUAGGGUUAUGCAUAUGCACAGUCGUGCUUUGAAGCACUCUUCUUCCUUCUAAACUAGACUUCAAGUGAUGCAGAUCAUGCUUCAACAUUCACAAUCAUGCUUCGUUUAUGAAUCAAAGUCUUGUUUCCUUUUGCAUAACCAUGCUUUAGUGAAGCAGAACCGUGCCCUUUUUCCAAAGCAGGUGUGAAAUAGAUGCACGACUGUGCAUAGUUAAGCACAAUUGUGCCACAUGCUCUAGGAUAGCUUCUUGCUCUUUUUGAAACUUCCUUUUCUUUUCCAUAAAAGAGUCAUCUCCAUCUUGCUUCGAAGUUUCACUUUUUAGAUGAGAAAUAAUCAUUUAAAGUGCUAAAGAUAGCUACAUGGUGCGAGAAACCCCAUCAAUAAUCAUAUGUAAAAUAGGGUUUAUAAUCACCUUACCUUUUCUAUUAUUUGUAUGAAAGACCAUUCAUGUUUACUGAAAAAAAUAAAAGCAAAAGUUAGGAAUGAUAUUCAUGGUAUUAAGGUGGGUAGAGGUACUUCCAUUUUCACAAACUUUUUUGAUUAUUUGAUUAUUUGUUGAUGAUUGUUUCCAUUUUUUGUAUGACAAAUCAAAAGUAGGUGAGUCUUUACAUUAAUUCUUAAUCAAUUUGAGCAUGCCUUAGUCAAGCUAUUAACCUUCAAAAAUAUGAAAUAUUCUUCAGUAGGAACAGUCUUCAAAGCUCCCACAAUUUUGUCGGAGCCAAUGGUGUCUAGAUUGAUGCUAUUGAAGUAUUGGUUUCUUAAAUGUUGCAUAAUUUCUUAAAUGUAGCACUAAUGUUGCAAUCUUCAGGGAGCAACAACAUUUUUGGUGCUGGUUGUGCAUACGAAAGAGUAAUGGAGAUUUUGUUUUGGUUGAAACAUCAUGGAAGCAUGUUUCCCCACUAGUGUUCGAGGGAGAAAC